rnacentral:rRNA from 1 species
GUCGUAACAAGGUCUCCGUUGGUGAACCAGCGGAGGGAUCAUUACUGAGUUACCGCUCUAUAACCCUUUGUGAACGUACCUAACCGUUGCUUUGGCGGGCAGGGGAAGCCUCUCGCGGGCCUCCCCUCCCGGCGCCGGCCCCCACCACGGGGACGGGGCGCCCGCCGGAGGAAACCAAACUCUAUUUACACGACGUCUCUUCUGAGUGGCACAAGCAAAUAAUUAAAACUUUUAACAACGGAUCUCUUGGUUCUGGCAUCGAUGAAGAACGCAGCGAAAUGCGAUAAGUAAUGUGAAUUGCAGAAUUCAGUGAAUCAUCGAAUCUUUGAACGCACAUUGCGCUCGCCAGCAUUCUGGCGAGCAUGCCUGUUCGAGCGUCAUUUCAACCCUCAAGCACCGCUUGGUUUUGGGGCCCCACGGCCGACGUGGGCCCUUAAAGGUAGUGGCGGACCCUCCCGGAGCCUCCUUUGCGUAGUAACUAACGUCUCGCACUGGGAUCCGGAGGGACUCUUGCCGUUAAACCCCCAAAUUCUUUACAGGUUGACCUCGGAUCAGGUAGGAAUACCCGCUGAACUUAAGCAUAUCAAUAAGCGGAGGA